GAUGAACGCUGGCGGCGUGCCUAAUACAUGCAAGUCGAGCGAACGGACGAGAAGCUUGCUUCUCUGAUGUUAGCGGCGGACGGGUGAGUAACACGUGGAUAACCUACCUAUAAGACUGGGAUAACUUCGGGAAACCGGAGCUAAUACCGGAUAAUAUUUUGAACCGCAUGGUUCAAAAGUGAAAGACGGUCUUGCUGUCACUUAUAGAUGGAUCCGCGCUGCAUUAGCUAGUUGGUAAGGUAACGGCUUACCAAGGCAACGAUGCAUAGCCGACCUGAGAGGGUGAUCGGCCACACUGGAACUGAGACACGGUCCAGACUCCUACGGGAGGCAGCAGUAGGGAAUCUUCCGCAAUGGGCGAAAGCCUGACGGAGCAACGCCGCGUGAGGGAUGAAGGUCUUCGGAUCGUAAAACUCUGUUAUUAGGGAAGAACAUAUGUGUAAGUAACUGUGCACAUCUUGACGGUACCUAAGCAGAAAGCCACGGCUAACUACGUG
rnacentral:rRNA from 1 species